AGUGAACGCUGGCGGUAGGCCUAACACAUGCAAGUCGAACGGCAGCACAGUAGGGCUUGCUCUUACGGGUGGCGAGUGGCGGACGGGUGAGGAAUACAUCGGAAUCUACUUUUUCGUGGGGGAUAACGUAGGGAAACUUACGCUAAUACCGCAUACGACCUACGGGUGAAAGCAGGGGAUCUUCGGACCUUGCGCGAUUGAAUGAGCCGAUGUCGGAUUAGCUAGUUGGCGGGGUAAAGGCCCACCAAGGCGACGAUCCGUAGCUGGUCUGAGAGGAUGAUCAGCCAGACUGGAACUGAGACACGGUCCAGACUCCUACGGGAGGCAGCAGUGGGGAAUAUUGGACAAUGGGCGCAAGCCUGAUCCAGACAUACCGCGUGGGUGAAGAAGGCCUUCGGGUUGUAAAGCCCUUUUGUUGGGAAAGAAAAGCAGCAGGUUAAUACCCCGCUGUUCUGACGGUACCCAAAGAAUAAGCACCGGCUAACUUCGUGC
rnacentral:rRNA from 1 species